rnacentral:rRNA from 1 species
UACGAAGGGGGCUAGCGUUGUUCGGAAUCACUGGGCGUAAAGCGCACGUAGGCGGAUUUUUAAGUCAGGGGUGAAAUCCCGGGGCUCAACCUCGGAACUGCCUUUGAUACUGGAGAUCUUGAGUCCGGAAGAGGUAAGUGGAGCUGCGAGUGUAGAGGUGAAAUUCGUAGAUAUUCGCAAGAACACCAGUGGCGAAGGCGGCUUACUGGUCCGGAACUGACGCUGAGGUGCGAAAGCGUGGGGAGCAAACAGG